GAGUCAAAUUCAAAACCGCUGCCGUCACUCCAGAGCCAGAUACCCUCCUAGAAGACGAGAGAACAGAACAGAUGUUCUAGACCUGCGCUGCUUUGAUACAUGAUCAGUAUCAGGACGAACUACAGCUGGACAUAAAUGAAAGACAAACAGACGUGUGUUUCUUCGGUGACCGGAUGAGCCAGGUCCGCCCACCUCCUUCAGACUUUCACCGUUCGGCAAGGACUUCAGAAACUGAUUAACAGAACCUCCAGGAUGCUUCAUGUGAAAGACAGACAGGCCUUUAACUUUCAGUUUGGUGUCUUCACUGGUUUUGCCUGCUGUCAUCCUGAUCCCCUCAUGCAGAGGACAGUCGCAGGUGAUUUGUUCACCUCAGCCAAUCAUAGCCCUGGCUAGUGAUGAUGUUGUGUUUUCAUGUCACCUUGAACCUCCUAUCAGUGCCGGUUCCAGGACAGCGGAGUGGACCAGACCUGGUUUGGACCCAGAGUACAUCCAUGUCCACCAAGAUGGACGACUGUUGCAUGAUGUUUGAGCUGUUUAAGAGACACAACAUCUGCACAAUGUGACAGCAGACCUGCUCCACUGCGCCCCCUUCUGGUCUUUAUCCACACAUUACAGGUUCAUGUGCACAAGGGGCUCAAAGGUUAGUUGUAGUAAAAUAUGCAGGGCUGCAUGUUGUGAUAAAUAUGACAGGAAAAAUGGGAGCUCACAUUCAGGC